rnacentral:rRNA from 1 species
CCUACGGGAGGCAGCAGUAAGGGAAUAUUGGUCAAUGGACGAAAGUCUGAACCAGCCAUGCCGCGUGAAGGAUGACGGCCCUCUGGGUUGUAAACUUCUUUUAUAUGGGACGAAAAAAAGGGAAUUCUUUCUCACUUGACGGUACCAUAGGAAUAAGCACCGGCUAACUCCGUGCCAGCAGCCGCGGUAAUACGGAGGGUGCAAGCGUUAUCCGGAUUCACUGGGUUUAAAGGGUGCGUAGGUGGGUAGGUAAGUCAGUGGUGAAAUCUCCGAGCUUAACUCGGAAACUGCCAUUGAUACUAUUUAUCUUGAAUUUUUUGGAGGUGAGCGGAAUAUGUCAUGUAGCGGUGAAAUGCUUAGAUAUGACAUAGAACACCAAUUGCGAAGGCAGCUCACUACGAAAUUAUUGACACUGAGGCACGAAAGCGUGGGGAUCAAACAGGAUUAGAUACCCUGGUAGUCCACGCCCUAAACGAUGGAUACUCGACAUCAGCGAUACACUGUUGGUGUCUGAGCGAAAGCAUUAAGAUCCCGACUGGGAAGUACGACCGCAAGGUUGAAACUUNAAAGGAUUGACGGNUUGAGCGNGCGAGCGACACGAGGAGGAGG